AUAUUUUUAAGAAAACCAGCAUAAGACACUCUUUCAGCGAAAAAACAAGAGUAGAAAAAAAAAAGAAAAAAAAGAGGAAGGGUGUCAUGGGAAAGAUGGAGAGGCAGAGAUUGAUAAUGGUAUUGAUGUCGCACGAACUGCGGUCCUGCGAGUUUUUGUACGGGCACGGAAAAGUUAUUUCCCAACUCGUGCAAUCGCCCCCAUCUCCCCACUCCCAAGAUCGGAACAGUCUCCUCCCCGUCUGCUGUCUUCUGACCGACCCCUCUUGAAUGCAUGCACCGCUUG
rnacentral:lncRNA from 1 species